rfam:Strongylocentrotus purpuratus Contig100037_fixed, whole genome shotgun sequence.
CCAAAGGUUCUUUCAAGAACCACCAAAAUACCACGAAAGAUGAUAU